GCGUCGGUGGUUCAGUGGUAGAAUACUCGCCUGCCACGCGGGUGGCCCGGGACGAUUCCCGGCUGACGCA
rnacentral:tRNA from 1 species